UCGAGAAUCUUCGGCAAUGGGCGCAAGCCUGACCGAGCGACGCCGCGUGGAGGACGAAGGCCUUCGGGUUGUAAACUCCUGUCGAGGGGGAACAAGACGCCGUGCAGAGCGGCGUUUGAGUGAUCCCUGGAGGAAGCACGGGCUAAGUUCGUGCCAGCAGCCGCGGUAAGACGAACCGUGCGAACGUUAUUCGGAAUCACUGGGCUUAAAGCGCGUGUAGGCGGGCCGGCACGUCGGCGGCUGAAAUCCCCCGGCUCAACCGGGGAAGGGCCCCGAUACGACCGGCCUGGAGGGGGGUAGGGGGACGGGAACUUCCGGUGGAGCGGUGAAAUGCGUUGAGAUCGGAAGGAACGCCCGCGGCGAAAGCGCGUCCCUGGACCCCACCUGACGCUGAGACGCGAAAGCCAGGGGAGCGAACGGGAUUAGAUACCCCGGUAGUCCUGGCCGUAAACCAUGAGCACUGGGUAGGGGCUCGCCGAUGGGCUCCCUGCCGCAGCGAAGCGUGAAGUGCUCC
rnacentral:rRNA from 1 species